GAGAGAAGACGUGCAGGGACCCCGCGCACAGGAGCUGCCCUCGCGACAUGGGUCACCCGUUGCUGCUGCCGCUGCUGCUGCUGCUCCACACCUGCGUCCCAGACUCUUGGGGCCUGCGGUGCAUGCAGUGUAAGAGCAACGGGGAUUGCCGUGUGGAAGAGUGCGCCCUGGGACAGGACCUCUGCAGGACCACGUUCGUACGCAUGUGGGAAGAAGGGGAAGAGCUGGAGCUGGUGGAGAAAAGCUGUACCCACUCAGAGAAGACCAACAGGACCCUGAGCUAUCGGACUGGCUUGAAGAUCACCAGCCUUACCGAGGUUGUGUGUGGGUUAGACUUGUGCAACCAGGGCAACUCUGGUGAGUAGGGCAGCCCUUGCCAUCCCCAACCCCAAGCCAUCCCCAGCUCAACCUCAACAUCAUCCCAAUCCUAUUCUUAACUUUACAUCAGCUGAACCCCAACUCCAUGCCUUAUCCAAGUCCCAACCCCAACCCAACCCAUCUCUAGCUCAGCCCCAUCCCCAACUCAUUCUUGAUCCCAUAUCCAACCCCAGCUCAACUUCAUC
rnacentral:sRNA from 1 species